GGGAAAAGAGAAUUCAUGGGCAUAGGGAUUAGACCUUGGGUGAUCAAGAUUCAAACUAAGGAUGGCAAACAAUCAAUCAAACUAUCAACCUUAAGCUUAGACACAGUUCUAAACAAGCUCUAUAUCUAGAUGAAUGUUCAUUUACUAAUACAUUUCAAACAUCAAAUGUCUUUGGUUGAAUAAUAUGAAAGCAAUCAUUACUAACAAGUCUAAUGACUAUCUUAACACCUCUAACAACAAAUGUCUUUGGCAAAGUAUGCUAAAAGCUUAGAAGAGUUGUCUCAUGCAUUUCAUCAAACACCUUUUGAGUAGAAAAUGCCCAAAGA
rnacentral:lncRNA from 1 species